AUGGUUCCUUUGGUCGCUCCCCUCCCGUUCCUUGGAUAACUGUGGUAAUUCUAGAGCUAAUACAUGCCGACGAGCGCCGACCUCCGGGGACGCGUGCAUUUAUCAGACCAAAACCAACCCGGGCUCGCCCGGCGGCUUUGGUGACUCUAGAUAACCUCGAGCCGAUCGCACGCCCCCGUGGCGGCGACGACCCAUUCGAAUG
rnacentral:rRNA from 1 species